rfam:Verticillium albo-atrum VaMs.102 supercont1.1 genomic scaffold, whole genome shotgun sequence.
GGGGAUGUAGGUCAGUGGUAGACUGUUCGCUUCGCAUGCGAAAGGUCCCCGGUUCAAUCCCGGGCAUCUCCA